AACGAACGCUGGCGGCAUGCCUAACACAUGCAAGUCGAACGAGACCUUCGGGUCUAGUGGCGCACGGGUGCGUAACGCGUGGGAACCUGCCCUUAGGUUCGGAAUAACUCCCCGAAAGGGGUGCUAAUACCGGAUAAUUUCUUCGGACCAAAGAUUUAUCGCCUUUGGAUGGGCCCGCGUUGGAUUAGCUAGUUGGUAGGGUAAAAGCCUACCAAGGCGACGAUCCAUAGCUGGUCUGAGAGGAUGAUCAGCCACACUGGGACUGAGACACGGCCCAGACUCCUACGGGAGGCAGCAGUGGGGAAUAUUGGACAAUGGGCGAAAGCCUGAUCCAGCAAUGCCGCGUGAGUGAUGAAGGCCUUAGGGUUGUAAAGCUCUUUUACCCGGGAUGAUAAUGACAGUACCGGGAGAAUAAGCUCCGGCUAACUCCGU
rnacentral:rRNA from 1 species